rnacentral:rRNA from 1 species
GACGAACGCUGGCGGCGUGCCUAAUACAUGCAAGUAGAACGCACAGUUUAUACCGUAGCUUGCUACACCAUAGACUGUGAGUUGCGAACGGUUGAGUAACGCGUAGGUAACCUGCCUGGUAGCGGGGGAUAACUAUUGGAAACGAUAGCUAAUACCGCAUAAUAUUAAUUAUUGCAUGAUAAUUAAUUGAAAGGUGCAAUUGCACCACUACCAGAUGGACCUGCGUUGUAUUAGCUAGUAGGUGAGGUAACGGCUCACCUAGGCGACGAUACAUAGCCGACCUGAGAGGGUGAUCGGCCACACUGGGACUGAGACACGGCCCAGACUCCUACGGGAGGCAGCAGUAGGGAAGCUUCGGCAAUGGACGAAAGGCUGACCGAGCAACGCCGCGGGAGUGAAGAAGGGUGUCGGAUCGUAAAGCUCUGUUGUAAGAGAAGAACGGGUGUGAGAGUGGAAAGUUCACACUGUGACGGUAUCUUACCAGAAAGGGACGGCUAACUACGUG